rnacentral:rRNA from 1 species
UUUAAACUAGGGAUAGAUACCCUAUUAUUUUUAUUAAUCUUGAAAUUAAUUAGUUAUUAAAUGUAAAUCAUUAAAAAUAAAAAAUUUGGCGGUAUUUAUUAUUUAGAGGAACUUGUUUGUUAAAUUGAUAAUCCACGAGUAGAUAAACUUAAUAUUUAUUUUUUUAUGUAUUGUUGUUGAAAGAUUAUAUUAAUAGAUAUUAAUUAAUAAAUUUAAUUUUUGAAUUAUAAUUCAAAUCAAAAUGUAGAAUAGUUAAGAAUUUAAUGAGUUACAAUUAAUUUAAUAAAUGAAUUUUAAAAAUUUAAUUUACUAAAUGAAAAUGGAUUUAAAAGUAAAUUUAUAUAAAUUUAUAAAUGAAUAAGAAAUUAU